rnacentral:rRNA from 1 species
AGUGCACGCUGGCGGUAGGCCUAACACAUGCAAGUCGAACGGCAGCACAGUAAGAGCUUGCUCUUACGGGUGGCGAGUGGCGGACGGGUGAGGAAUACAUCGGAAUCUACUUUUUCGUGGGGGAUAACGUAGGGAAACUUACGCUAAUACCGCAUACGACCUACGGGUGAAAGCAGGGGAUCUUCGGACCUUGCGCGAUUGAAUGAGCCGAUGUCGGAUUAGCUAGUUGGCGGGGUAAAGGCCCACCAAGGCGACGAUCCGUAGCUGGUCUGAGAGGAUGAUCAGCCACACUGGAACUGAGACACGGUCCAGACUCCUACGGGAGGCAGCAGUGGGGAAUAUUGGACAAUGGGCGCAAGCCUGAUCCAGCCAUACCGCGUGGGUGAAGAAGGCCUUCGGGUUGUAAAGCCCUUUUGUUGGGAAAGAAAAGCGGCAGGUUAAUACCCCGCUGUUCUGACGGUACCCAAAGAAUAAGCACCGGCUAACUUCGUG